rnacentral:tRNA from 1 species
AAAGAUUUAAGUUAAGAAAACUAAUAGCCUUCAAAGUUAUAAUUAUUUAUUAUAAUAAUCUUUA